rnacentral:rRNA from 1 species
UGGGGAAUUUUGCGCAAUGGGCGAAAGCCUGACGCAGCGACGCCGCGUGAGGGAUGAAGGUCUUCGUGAUUGUAAACCUCUGUCAGGAAGGAUUAACUGUGCGGAUAUUAACACUAUUCGCAUUUGACUUAACUUCCAGAGGAAGCCCCGGCUAACUACGUGCCAGCAGCCGCGGUAAUACGUAGGGGGCAAGCGUUACUCGGAUUUACUGGGCGUAAAGCGAGUUAAGGUGGUCUUGUAAGUCGGAGGUGAAAUCCCUCAGCUCAACUGGGGAACUGCCUUUGAUACUGCAAGGCUAGAGGACAGGAGAGGAAAGUGGAAUUCCCGGUGUAGCGGUGGAAUGCGUAGAUAUCGGGAGGAACACCAGAGGCGAAGGCGACUUUCUGGACUGAUUCUGACACUGAUACUCGAAAGCUAGGGGAGCAAACAGG